AUUGCUUCUCGGCCUUUUGGCUAAGAUCAAGUGUAGUGGAGAAUGGAAAUUAGAGAAAGGAGAGAGAAGUAUUUCAUUAUUUAUUAAGAUAAAAAUCAGAAUCCUUAAAAAUAAUUAUUUAUUAUUCUUACAAAGAUGCCAAACUGCUGGGCGCAGUGGUUCAUGCCUGUGAUCCCAGCACUUUGC